CCCAAAGAGCCGAAACAUGUCACAUUCACCCCUUCACACCACAUUCACCCCUUCACACAAAACUAAUAUAACUCACUAAAGACCAAAGAAGUAUUAUUGAUCAGUAAAUCCCCUUUGAGUAUCAUGCUGUUGUUUUUAACAGUCCCUCAGUUCUCUCGGUUUCUGUUUACAUAAUUCUGUUUUAUUCAGUUUAUCAAUAAUCAAUGACACUGAAAAAAGAGUUUUUAAAUUUACUGACUUGUUUGGAUUUCAGACAACACGUCACAACAGAGGACACUCUUUAGAUCAGGUCCUCAGCUCUAACCCGUCAGCAGGUCUGUCCUCUGUUGUUGACCCGUCAGCAGGUCUGUCGUUAGCUCUAAUAAAGUAGAAACUGGUUUUUACCUGAGG